rnacentral:rRNA from 1 species
CCGUACUAUUAUGGUCCGACGCGCGAGAAAGACCGGACAGGUUCAGAUUAUUAUUGUUACAAACCGCCAGCUUAAUUUAACUCAAUUGGUAAAAGAGUUGGUUAAAGAUUUCCCAGAAGUUGUGACAGUAGCUGUUAAUACAAAUACAGCUAAAACCAGUGAGAUAUAUGGUGAAAAGACAGAGAUUAUCUGGGGGCAAGAGAGUAUUCAAGAAGGUGUACUCAAUUAUGAAUUUUCACUAUCCCCUCGAGCUUUUUAUCAACUAAAUCCUGAGCAAACAGAAGUCCUCUAUAGCGAAGCAGUAAAAGCGCUGGAUGUUGAUAAAGAAGACCAUUUGAUUGACGCUUAUUGUGGAGUUGGAACGAUUGGAUUUGCCUUUGCAAAGAAAGUAAAAACACUCAGAGGUAUGGAUAUUAUUCCAGAAGCUAUUGAAGAUGCCAAGCGAAAUGCUAAAAGAAUGGGAUUUGACAAUACUCAUUAUGAAGCUGGAACGGCAGAAGAGAUUAUUCCUCGUUGGUACAAGGAAGGCUACCGAGCAGAUGCUUUGAUUGUUGACCCACCACGUACAGGUCUGGAUGAUAAGUUAUUAGAUACUAUUCUUACUUAUGUACCAGAAAAAAUGGUUUAUAUUUCUUGUAAUGUUUCGACCUUGGCUCGUGAUUUGGUACGCUUAGUAGAAGUCUAUGAUCUUCAUUAUAUCCAGUCGGUCGAUAUGUUCCCACAUACAGCUCGAACUGAAGCUGUUGUAAAAUUAAUAAAAAAAGUUUAAAAAAGUAGUUGACAAAGUUUGAAAAGACUGUAUAAUAGUAAGAGUUGAAAAUAACAACUCAGGUCCGUUGGUCAAGGGGUUAAGACACCGCCUUUUCACGGCGGUAACACGGGUUCGAAUCCCGUACGGACUAUGGUAUGUUGCGGUUGGAACACUUGAUGAAAAAAAGUUUAAAAAACUUAAAAAUCUUCAAAAAAGUGUUGACAAGUGAAAGUGGCUGUGAUAUACUAAUAUAGUUGUCGCUUGAGAGAAGCAAGUGACAAAGACCUUUGAAAACUGAACAAGACGAACCAAUGUGCAGGGCGCUACAACAUAAGUUGUAGUACUGAACAAUGAAAAAAACAAUAAAUCUGUCAGUGACAGAAAUGAGUGAGAACUCAAACUUUUAAUGAGAGUUUGAUCCUGGCUCAGGACGAACGCUGGCGGCGUGCCUAAUACAUGCAAGUAGAACGCUGAAGGAGGAGCUUGCUUCUCUGGAUGAGUUGCGAACGGGUGAGAAUCCUGUCCACCGUAAGACUAAGGUUUCCAGGGGAAGGCUCGUCCGCCCUGGGUUAGUCGGGACCUAAGGAGAGACCGAAAGGUGUAUCCGAUGGACAACAGGUUGAUAUUCCUGUACUAGAGUAUGUAGUGAUGGAGGGACGCAGUAGGCUAACUAAAGCAGACGAUUGGAAGAGUCUGUCUAAGCAGUGAGGUGUGAAUUGAGUCAAAUGCUUAAUUCUAUAACAUUGAGCUGUGAUGGGGAGCGAAGUUUAGUAGCGAAGUUAGUGACGUCACACUGCCAAGAAAAGCUUCUAGCGUUUAAACAUACUCUACCCGUACCGCAAACCGACACAGGUAGUCGAGGCGAGUAGCCUCAGGUGAGCGAGAGAACUCUCGUUAAGGAACUCGGCAAAAUGACCCCGUAACUUCGGGAGAAGGGGUGCUGACUUAAAGUCAGCCGCAGUGAAUAGGCCCAAGCAACUGUUUAUCAAAAACACAGCUCUCUGCUAAAUCGUAAGAUGAUGUAUAGGGGGUGACGCCUGCCCGGUGCUGGAAGGUUAAGAGGAGUGCUUAGCGUAAGCGAAGGUAUGAAUUGAAGCCCCAGUAAACGGCGGCCGUAACUAUAACGGUCCUAAGGUAGCGAAAUUCCUUGUCGGGUAAGUUCCGACCCGCACGAAAGGCGUAAUGAUUUGGGCACUGUCUCAACGAGAGACUCGGUGAAAUUUUAGUACCUGUGAAGAUGCAGGUUACCCGCGACAGGACGGAAAGACCCCAUGGAGCUUUACUGCAGUUUGAUAUUGAGUGUCUGUACCACAUGUACAGGAUAGGUAGGAGUCUAAGAGAUCGGGACGCCAGUUUCGAAGGAGACGCUGUUGGGAUACUACCCUUGUGUUAUGGCCACUCUAACCCAGAUAGGUGAUCCCUAUCGGAGACAGUGUCUGACGGGCAGUUUGACUGGGGCGGUCGCCUCCUAAAAGGUAACGGAGGCGCCCAAAGGUUCCCUCAGAAUGGUUGGAAAUCAUUCGCAGAGUGUAAAGGUAUAAGGGAGCUUGACUGCGAGAGCUACAACUCGAGCAGGGACGAAAGUCGGGCUUAGUGAUCCGGUGGUUCCGUAUGGAAGGGCCAUCGCUCAACGGAUAAAAGCUACCCUGGGGAUAACAGGCUUAUCUCCCCCAAGAGUUCACAUCGACGGGGAGGUUUGGCACCUCGAUGUCGGCUCGUCGCAUCCUGGGGCUGUAGUCGGUCCCAAGGGUUGGGCUGUUCGCCCAUUAAAGCGGCACGCGAGCUGGGUUCAGAACGUCGUGAGACAGUUCGGUCCCUAUCCGUCGCGGGCGUAGGAAAUUUGAGAGGAUCUGCUCCUAGUACGAGAGGACCAGAGUGGACUUACCGCUGGUGUACCAGUUGUCUUGCCAAAGGCAUCGCUGGGUAGCUAUGUAGGGAAGGGAUAAACGCUGAAAGCAUCUAAGUGUGAAACCCACCUCAAGAUGAGAUUUCCCAUGAUUAUAUAUCAGUAAGAGCCCUGAGAGAUGAUCAGGUAGAUAGGUUAGAAGUGGAAGUGUGGCGACACAUGUAGCGGACUAAUACUAAUAGCUCGAGGACUUAUCC